rnacentral:sRNA from 1 species
UGUACUAGUCAGCAGUGAUUUGCAGGGGU